GCUCCAAACAGCCCUCUGAACUUCUAGUGCAGACGUUCUUAACCUGGAAUCCACAGAUCCCCAAAUGGAUACACAGAAUGCAGGAGGUUGAAUUCCAUGAAGGUGAUGUUCAAAUGCCUCUGGAAAAACUGUGGGAAGGUGCUGAGCACUGCAGCAGGUAUCCAGAAACACAUCCGGACCAUCCAUCUGGGGCGCGUUGGAGACUCUGACUACAGUGAUGGAGAAGAGGACUUUUACUACACUGAGAUCAAGCUCAACACAGACUCAGUGGCAGACGGGCUGAGCAGCCUGGCCCCGGUCUCACCUUCCCAGUCCCUGGUUUCACCUCCUACUUUCCCCAUCCCAGAUUCAAGCCGAACAGAAACUCCUUGUGCCAAAACGGAGACUAAGUUGAUGACGCCCUUGAGCCGCUCAGCUCCCACCACCCUCUAC
rnacentral:sRNA from 1 species